AUUUUGGCCACAGCGCCGGCGGAGGAGGUAAAAGCACCUUCCCUCCUGCUUAAAGGUAAUCCCCCUCGCUGCCACUGGUUUGGCCGAAUGCUGGACCUUCAGAACUGGUUUGGUGGUCUGUAAAAGGACCACUGAAAUGGUCCGUUCACACCUCUAGAAUAAAUUAUGAAAUUUUGACUGCAGAAUUUUGGUUGUAUAGCAGUUGGUUGUAAUAAUAUUAAUUAGGGUUUAGUUUUAGGUUUAGUUUUAGGUUUAGUUUAGUUUAGUUAGCACAGAUGAGACACGGUCUUGUCUACAGGACUCCAUGCCUUUUUUAGCUCUAAUGGGACAUAUUUGAUCAAAAGAGCUGGUUUCAAUUACUGUCAUUUUAUCUUUGUAUAUGGACUCUGCCAGCUCACUGUCCGCUAUACGCAAGGGGGUCUUCACACAUAACUGCUUGGCUAAACUGAGGUUUAAUGGCAAUGUUUAACUUCAAGCAUUUAAUCCAGUCUUUUUGACCCACAGUGCUCUUUACUAUCGCCUUUAAGGGAAUCACGCUGCAUCUUUCAUUUGCUCUUUGGCCUGGUACUUUGGUAACAAGCAAAAGUGGAUCAGCUGCGUAAAAAUGUACAGCUUGCUAGAAAAGCGAGGUGUCAUAGGAGGAAGCCAGAAAGACCCCCUUGAGUGGGGGAUACUGUGCUGCUGUGAAGCAAGCCGCUUCCUCUGAUUCGACAGUAAUGGAUGCACAGCAGAACAAUGACAUCGCUCAGACCUGGAGAAACAAAGGGGUGAGUUAGCAACUGGGUUGGCUUCUUGAUGAGAGUGGCCACCCACCCCAUAUUAGCUCAGUAAGGGCUGGCAUGACCCAGAGGAUCAGAAGAAAAGUCCAUCAGCGGACAAUGCCAGUUCCUAGCUUGAAGGAGCAUCCUUGAUCACAGCAUUCUCAUUCCUACAUAACUUAGAGUGGUGGCUAGUAUAGGGGUGGGGGGACAGAAGAGUGGAAAGGAAGUUUGUUAAUUUUAUUUAGUACAUUUCUAUACCACCCUAGCCAAAAGGGUCCCUGGACAGUUCACAGUCUUAAAAACCAUUAAAAAAUUAACUCGAUUAAAACAAUUUAAAAACACAAAUAACCAAUAACAACAACCCGAACUUUAAAACUAUAAACUAAAAGUCUGGCUAAGCAGUUAUGUUUUUAGGUACUUCUUAAAAACAUUCAGAAAAGGGGAAGCUCGAGUCCUGGGGCAAAAGGCCUGGUUUUGAGUUGCCACCAACUGAGCCGGUGGCAACCGGACCUCAUUAAUCUUAAUUAAUCUUAAGUUGAGUAUUGAGCAUUCUUUGCUUCACUUCAAAUGCAGACGUGCAAAUACAUUUUAUAUUUUUAUUCCCCUGAGAAAAAUAGUGAUCUCCCUUUCAGGAUUAUGAUGAGCACAGACUCAAAAAGGGCGACAAAGCACUUCAUGGAUAUUUGAGUGUUGCCCCGUUUUCUUAAAAUAAUCUCCCUGUACAUGGAAAAUUGUAAGCAGAAAUGGUUAGACUAGAAUUCUUCAGAACUGCUGGCAUUGCAUGGGGAGGGAGUGUUUGAGAUGGGGCAGCAUUCAACCAUGGGGUUCACCUCCCACAUUCCUAAGUGGUACACCCCAAGGAGGUCUUUCACAUGCUUUCGGAAUGUGCAAAGUGGCCCUCAGAAGAACAAGAGGCAUGUCCUACCAGUACAGAAGGAUAAAUCUUCACAUCUCUGUGAAACAGAAUUGUGGGGAAUAAAGUUCUUGAUCUGCAUUUUUUUUAAAAAAGGGAAUAACUGUAUUUGGAACUUAAAAAAAAAAAAAGAAUUGUAUCUUGUCCCAGAAUACAUGGGUGUUUCAGUACAAGAACUAGCGAUGCAAAAAAGACACACAGUUUGGGUCACUGGUCAUUUUUAGGGACCUAUCGUCUUCUGAUUGAACUGAGUAUUCAUUGCGUGGUGUGUGUUUACCAAAAUAACAGGUGGGUAUAAAUAGCUUCAGCAAGGAAGUGAGAAUUAAAAGUCUGUUUUUUGUUUUGUUUACUGGUCUUGUUUUGUACAUAGCUUUUAAUAAACACUUUUCAGAUGUGA